rfam:Hordeum vulgare subsp. vulgare, WGS project CAJW01000000 data, contig: morex_contig_64596
UUCAUAUUCCCUUCGUCCCAAAUUUUUUAUCUUAGAUUUGUCUAAAUAUGAAUGUAUGGACUCACGUUUUAGUAUCUAGAUACAUUCAUUUCUAGACAAACCUAAGACAAAAAAAUUAAGACGAAUGAAGUACUAU